UAUAGACAUAUUAUAUAUACAGAAUCAUUUCCAAAUCAUCAAAAACAAAGCCAAAACCAGCAGUAAGACCACAUCAUAGGGCACUCUCUACCACUUGAAUUCACCGCAAUAUUCAGUAAUAUUUCCAUAAAGUAAAGCAGCAAAGGCAUGAAGUUUAAAUGGCACAAAAAUGUAAAUUUGACACCAAUAUGCUAAAAAUACUUUCAUAGUUGCACAAAGAUACAAUCAAAAGAACAGAAAAGUACUGUAGACAUUAUAGAAUGCUACUGCUUUUACAUAAUGAGUACAUAACACAAUUGACACACAAUAUUGGUAUCAGUAAGCAUAGAUACUACGACAUUCACAUAAAGAUACUAUCUUAGUAGCAGAAAUAUACUUCAACAGUUAUAGAAAACUACUGUCCUCAUAUACUUAACACUAAACAUCAUUUCAAACUAAAACACUUCAUUUCACACUACUUAACAUUUAUUCAGUCAAACAUGAUUGUUAUACACACCACUACUGCACAAUUGAGCUAAAAUCAUGAAGAAAAUUCAAACACACUAUCUUCAACAAUCAAAUUAGGCAACGGAGUUCAAGAGCCAAAACCUGCUUACAUGAUUGAGAAGCAAUUCAUCGCCGGUCUUGUGGAACUUGGCCAGGGAGUCACACUGUCUCCAGCGAGCGAUCUACAAAAUUGUCAUCGACCGCUGCCAUCGUCGUUAUUGAAAACCAGCGCCGACGUUGACAGCGACGUCGACAAGGAUGAUUAGCGAGGAUCGAUCUUCUGAGAGAGACCUCCGACACAGGCAGAUCUACGAUCGCAUUCGCUUCAGAGCUAGUUUGGUGACGACCUUGUAGAUCCGCUUGCGCUUUGAGGGAUAUGCAGUCUAGGUUAUCGAGAUGUCGUCGACGGUCGAUCCCGAAGUCAUCGUUGCGGCGGCGGCAUCGUCGGAGUUGGAGAUGCAAUCGAGAUCUAGCUGGAAGUCGUCAUCGAGGCGGCGUGGUAACGGUGUUGGAAUCGAAGGUGGAAGAGAGAGAGAGAGAGAGAGAGAGAGAGAGAGAGAGAGAGAGAGAGAGAGAGAGAGAGAG
rnacentral:lncRNA from 1 species